rnacentral:rRNA from 1 species
CCUACGGGUGGCUGCAGUGGGGAAUAUUGCACAAUGGGCGCAAGCCUGAUGCAGCCAUGCCGCGUGUGUGAAGAAGGCCUUCGGGUUGUAAAGCACUUUCAGCGGGGAGGAAGGCGGUGAGGUUAAUAACCUCAUCGAUUGACGUUACCCGCAGAAGAAGCACCGGCUAACUCCGUGCCAGCAGCCGCGGUAAUACGGAGGGUGCAAGCGUUAAUCGGAAUUACUGGGCGUAAAGCGCACGCAGGCGGUCUGUCAAGUCGGAUGUGAAAUCCCCGGGCUCAACCUGGGAACUGCAUUCGAAACUGGCAGGCGAGAGUCUUGUAGAGGGGGGUAGAAUUCCAGGUGUAGCGGUGAAAUGCGUAGAGAUCUGGAGGAAUACCGGUGGCGAAGGCGGCCCCCUGGACAAAGACUGACGCUCAGGUGCGAAAGCGUGGGGAGCAAACAGGAUUAGAUACCCCUGUAGUC